rnacentral:tRNA from 1 species
GGGCCUGUGGCGCAACGGUAGCGCGUUCGACUCCAGAUCGAAAGGUUGUUGGUUCAAAUCCUGCCGGGCUCA